rnacentral:rRNA from 1 species
UGGGGAAUUUUGGACAAUGGGGGCAACCCUGAUCCAGCCAUCCCGCGUGUGCGAUGAAGGCCUUCGGGUUGUAAAGCACUUUUGGCAGGGAAGAAACAGCCUGGGCUAAUAUCCCGGGCGACUGACGGUACCUGCAGAAUAAGCACCGGCUAACUACGUGCCAGCAGCCGCGGUAAUACGUAGGGUGCAAGCGUUAAUCGGAAUUACUGGGCGUAAAGCGUGCGCAGGCGGUUCGGAAAGAAAGGUGUGAAAUCCCAGGGCUUAACCUUGUAACUGCACUUUUAACUACCGGGCUAGAGUACGUCAGAGGGGGGUAGAAUUCCACGUGUAGCAGUGAAAUGCGUAGAGAUGUGGAGGAAUACCGAUGGCGAAGGCAGCCCCCUGGGAUGAUACUGACGCUCAUGCACGAAAGCGUGGGGAGCAAACA